AGCACAAUGUUAACGCAAUGGUGCAGAGGGGGAGGAUGGGAAAUGUAGGAUCCUACAUUUCCCAUCCUCCCCCUCUGCACCAUUGCGUUUUGAACAUUGUGCUA